rnacentral:rRNA from 1 species
AAGUAAAAGUCGUAACAAGGUCUCCGUUGGUGAACCAGCGGAGGGAUCAUUGCUGGAACGCGCUUCGGCGCACCCAGAAACCCUUUGUGAACUUAUACCUAUUGUUGCCUCGGCGUCAGGCCGGCCUCUUCACUGAGGCCCCCCGGAGACGGGGAGCAGCCCGCCGGCGGCCAACUAAACUCUUGUUUCUAUAGUGAAUCUCUGAGUAAAAAACAUAAAUGAAUCAAAACUUUCAACAACGGAUCUCUUGGUUCUGGCAUCGAUGAAGAACGCAGCGAAAUGCGAUAAGUAAUGUGAAUUGCAGAAUUCAGUGAAUCAUCGAAUCUUUGAACGCACAUUGCGCCCCCUGGUAUUCCGGGGGGCAUGCCUGUUCGAGCGUCAUUUCAACCCUCAAGCCUGGCUUGGUGAUGGGGCACUGCUUCGAGAGGAGCAGGCCCUGAAAUUCAGUGGCGAGCUCGCCAGGACCCCGAGCGUAGUAGUUAUAUCUCGCUUUGGAAGGCCCUGGCGGUGCCCUGCCGUUAAACCCCCAACUUCUGAAAAUUUGACCUCGGAUCAGGUAGGAAUACCCGCUGAACUUAAGCAUAU